rnacentral:rRNA from 1 species
UAGGGAAUCUUCGGCAAUGGACGAAAGUCUGACCGAGCAACGCCGCGCGAGUGAAGAAGGUUUUCGGAUCGUAAAACUCUGUUGUUAGAGAAGAACAAGGACGUUAGUAACUGAACGUCCCCUGACGGUAUCUAACCAGAAAGCCACGGCUAACUACGUGCCAGCAGCCGCGGUAAUACGUAGGUGGCAAGCGUUGUCCGGAUUUAUUGGGCGUAAAGCGAGCGCAGGCGGUUUCUUAAGUCGGAUGUGAAAGCCCCGGCUCAACCGGGGAGGAUCAUUGGAAACUGGGAGACUUGAGUGCAGAAGAGGAGAGUGGAAUUCCAUGUGUAGCGGUGAAAUGCGUAGAUAUAUGGAGGAACACCAGUGGUGAAGGCGGCUCUCUGGUCUGUAACUGACGCUGAGGCGCGAAAGCGUGGGGAGCAAACAGG